GUUCAAGAGUACGUGAAACUGCUUAGAGGUUAAGCCCGAUGAACCUGAAUAUCCGUUAUGGAAAAUUCAUCAUUAAUACUAUGAUAUUUAUAAUAUUAUAGAAAUAGUGUGCAAUUUUUCCAUAUAAGGACAUUGUAAUUUGUUAAUGUUAUAAAUAUUUAUCAAAAGAUCAAUUACUUUAUGUUUAUUUAAAUUAGUUAUUUUCGGAUUUCUAACAUAAAAUAAAUGUUUUUGAUUUGAUAAAUCAUUGACAGAUUUAAUUAUAUAUUGUGCUUAAAUUUUUCGGAAUUUUACAAUGAUGAAUAGAUCUAUUGAUUUAAUCAUUUAAAUUGUAUGCGCUUUUAUGAUUAACAAUGCGAUAGAUUCAGGAUACCUUCGGGACCCGUCUUGAAACACGGACCAAGGAGUCUAACAUAUGUGCAAGUCAUUGGGUAUUUUUAAUAAAACCCAAUGGCAUAAUUAACUUAACUGUUUUAAAUGGGAUUAGUUUAUAUUUUAUUAUGAAAUAUUAAUUCAAUCCCGGGGCGUUCUAUACAGUUAUGUAUAAUAAUAUUUAUAUUAUUUAUGCCUCUAACUAGAGCGUACCUUGAGCAUAUAUGCUGUGACCCGAAAGAUGG
rnacentral:rRNA from 1 species